UACGUAGGGUGCGAGCGUUUAAUCGGAAUUACUGGGCGUAAAGCGUGCGCAGGCGGUUUUGUAAGUCUGUCGUGAAAUCCCCGGGCUCAACCUGGGAAUUGCGAUGGAGACUGCAAGGCUAGAAUCUGGCAGAGGGGGGUAGAAUUCCACGUGUAGCAGUGAAAUGCGUAGAGAUGUGGAGGAACACCGAUGGCGAAGGCAGCCCCCUGGGUCAAGAUUGACGCUCAUGCACGAAAGGCGUGGGGAGCAAACGAGG
rnacentral:rRNA from 1 species